rnacentral:tRNA from 1 species
GCCCGGGUGGCUCAGUCGGUUGAGCAUCUGACUUCGGCUCAGGUCAUGGCCUCAUGGUUUGUGGGUUCGAGCCCCGCGUCGGGCU